CUGGAUUCCCAGAGGACAAGAGCUACCAGACCUUUCUAUGGGAUCACUGCUUCAAUAACACAACUUCAUCUGGACUGCUACCACCACCACAGGGUAUCAGAUAGCCUCUUCAGACAUCAGUUCUGGCACUCCAGAUGGGACAGAAGGCAUCUGGAAAACCCCUUGGAUGAGAGGAACACCCAGCUGCCCCUCACCAACUCCUGCUGGCACUCCCAGGAGGCCCCAGAUGCAAUCCCAAAGGUAUAUGCACAGGGGGAGCUCGUGUCUGCGUUUAGACAAACCGUCUGACUGCUGUCACAGCUCUUGCACAGUGACCACGCUCCCGGCUCCAAAGCUGGACUACACGUGGGGAUAGCUACAUUUCCCCCAGGACAACAACUGAUUUUGACACAGCUGGCAGAGCUUGUGGUAUCACACUCACCCUGGGC